CACUCCUACGGGAGGCAGCAGUGGGGAAUAUUGGACAAUGGGCGCAAGCCUGAUCCAGCCAUGCCGCGUGAGUGAUGAAGGCCCUAGGGUUGUAAAGCUCUUUCACCGGUGAAGAUAAUGACGGUAACCGGAGAAGAAGCCCCGGCUAACUUCGUGCCAGCAGCCGCGGUAAUACGAAGGGGGCUAGCGUUGUUCGGAUUUACUGGGCGUAAAGCGCACGUAGGCGGACUAUUAAGUCAGGGGUGAAAUCCCGGGGCUCAACCCCGGAACUGCCUUUGAUACUGGUAGUCUUGAGUUCGAGAGAGGUGAGUGGAAUUCCGAGUGUAGAGGUGAAAUUCGUAGAUAUUCGGAGGAACACCAGUGGCGAAGGCGGCUCACUGGCUCGAUACUGACGCUGAGGUGCGAAAGCGUGGGGAGCAAACAGGAUUAGAUACCCGGGUAGUCCCAUG
rnacentral:rRNA from 1 species